CCUAGGAAGCCUUAAACAACAAUAUGGGCUUGCAAAGAAUGCAAACGAGGUUCUCUUGGUCAUUGAGGCUUACAAGACUCUCCGUGACAGAGCUCCUUACCCAGCCAACCACGUCGUGUCACACCUAAGUGGCGAUUUUGCCUUUGUGGUCUUUGAUAAAUCAACCUCCACUCUGUUUGUAGCCUCUGUAAGCUCUUCUUAACACCCUUUUUUACGGUGAGGUUUGAUUGAAUUUGGCGAUUAAAAAAUUGGUUUAAAUUUGCUGCAGGACCAAGAAGGUAAGGUACCAUUGUACUGGGGGAUAACAGCUGAUGGGUAUGUGGCAUUUGCUGAUGAUAUUGAGUUGCUAAAAGGUGCUUGUGGC
rnacentral:lncRNA from 1 species